UAGCAGCAAACAAACAAAUAUUUCCAGGCUUAUAAAACUUUUGCCGAGUCGACUUAUCACAGAAGCGAUAUAAAGUUAUUAAAUAUUGAUAUAAAUUUUAGUUUAACAUUCCGCAAUGGAAACUGAUAAGGAAAAACACAGCGAUGAGCUCAUGAAUCGCAUUCGGAAUGAGCUUACCGCCAUAAUAUCUCAAGAGGCUGAAAACGAUUCCGAUUCACAUGAACUCCUCCUGAGUCCCAAUCCGCUGCCCAUCUUCGGGCCCAUCAGGAAAACAAGGACAGCGAAAUCGAGGAGUUCAAAGAAGAAGUAUGGUAAGUCCUCGUCCGCAGGCAGUAAAAAGAGUUCGUCCGCCGAAAGCAGAUCAUCUGAAGAUCGUUUAACGGGAGGCGAAGCCCAGGAUAAGGCAUCGGAUCCGGCCCCAACAACGUCCAGCUUUUCGCUUAGAUCAGGAUAUGAUGGGCCCCCCAUGGAGGCCAGUGCCCGUGCCGAGUUUAUGGAAUCGCACGCGGCCAAAAGUAUCGACGACGAUGUCCGGAAGAUGCAGUUGGAGCUCAAGCAGAGCUACGAGCUCUUCCAGGGCAUUGGCGAGAAAUUGGAGUCAGUUAGCUUCACGGGACUGAAGGAUCGCAUUCGAGACCUGCACCUAAACGACUCCAACAACGAGUUGGGCAAGGCGACGACCCAGGAGCUUCAGAAGAUGUUCGACCAGCGUUUUCUUCAGAAUCGUCUGGACAAGCUUACCACGGACGCCACGCAGGGAUUUCGUCGGCAUCCCGGUGAAUUCGGCGACAUUCCCGAGUUGAGCACCUUCUUCCAGGCAUGCACACAGCUGGAACGCGGACUGGAUGCACUGCGUCAGCAGCGACGGCGCAACAGCGAGCUGGAGAAGCGUCUGUGCUGGGCCACCGAAAUCGCAUACGAUCGCAUGGACGAGAUUCGGAACUCGGUGGGCUCGGAUCCGGAAAAGAACUUCUGAAUUACUCAGUUUUAGGUGACAUGUAGUUCUUUUUUUGGUUCACCCUAAGGUUCAUUACCCGCAAACACACACGCACAGAUGGGUGGUUACUCACCCGAGUCCGUGUACCAGCUGCCUGCAUGGGUUGCUCUUCUGGCCGACAUGUUGUGCGAGAUCCCUAAUCUGUCUGUUUAGUUAGUAAGUUCUAUUAACUGGCCGUUACUUGUAGAAAAACCGAGUUCUUUGUUAUUGGUGCAGCAGUGUGACCGUCGUCUUGUUUUCUAAACAUGCACAUUCACUGGAUUCACGGCACUUUGGUCACGCUUUUUCAGGGCUCCAAAAAGUAUUUAAAUAGUGUUUGGAUACUAAUUCUUAUAAAUAUUAAAUAUUAUAAAUGUUCGAUCAAAAAACUUAAAAUAAAAUACAAAAGGUAAAGUGCGAA